ACGCCACCUGAAGCGUAUUCUAAAACCACACUACAAUAGUGCUGUCCAUGCAAGACACGAGUAAAUAACAUAACAUACCCAUUAAUUCUAAAAUGGCACACGACUAGUAUUAAUGUACAGAAUAGAAGUUUUACGAUCGGUCACGAAACACAUGUUCAUUGACAGAAACGUCGUAUAAAACAUUUUCCUUUGUUUUCGAAAUUUUUUAUCUAUGCCAUAAUUUUAAGCACUGAUUCAGUAUAAAAAGCGUACGAAAUAAGUACCAGAGCACAGGUGCAUAGUACCAAGUCACUGAGAUAUUCAGACAAGUGUAGAGUUAAACAAAGAACAAUAUGUAUAAGAAAGUUCGUAUUGCUCUCGCACUUUUUUCUGUCAUCGUCAUGUCAGGAUUAUUCUCGACAGCAAAUGCUAAGGACCGUUAUAAUUGCAAUUGCAAGCAUAUAACAGCACCAACCUGCUUCUUCAGAUGCAAGGUGGGUUAACUGCUAUAUAUGGCGGUCGCAGCAUGGAGUGAAGAAUGUAAAACUUUGACGUCAUAUAUACCAGUACCUACGACCUUCGAAUGCUCGAUAUGUUACUAAUUAUUUGAAGAAAUAAAGUUUGUCAGAUAUACAAGAUUUACACACAUACACAUAACCUAGAAAUGUUGAAAUGCUUCAAUAAAACCUGUUGAGCUUAUUAUUUAUUUAUCAGUUCAUUACCUGACAAUUAUGUCGUAAUAAACCAUUUUAUUCGAGUAAAUAGUUAAUUCCUCCGGUUUUCUAAGGCGU